rfam:Schistosoma margrebowiei strain Zambia genome assembly, scaffold: SMRZ_scaffold0001593
AGCUUUUCGAAUCCGUACUGAGAUUUAGUCAGACACCAACCCAUUACGACUGACCAGACUUCCAAGAUAAGUGAAGUU